rnacentral:lncRNA from 1 species
CUUUAGGAAGGUUAUUGACCCUGCUAACAUCAAAGUUAGGAAUCUGAGAGGCUGCUUCCUUAAGGCACUUACAUGCAGUAAGUUUUUCUUCUUUUGUGGGUGUUGAAACUAUCAAUUUAUUCAACCCUUGGCAGCAAGGAGUUGGAGGGGUAUUGGUUUUAUCGGUGAGGAAAUCUAAGCAUGGCGUCACUAAGGAUUUUGUUUCCUCACAAGUCAGGGCCUUUGGUGGCUCUGUGGCUGCAACUGUGAGGACUAACACAGCUACCAAACUCAAAAAUGGUACAUACACACUCUUCAUUUUUACCACAAUGGUUUUUCUGAAUCACUCACUGGUGCUUUUGAUUUUGGAUGGAUGGAACACUGUGAGAGUCUUACAUUUAUAGCCAGCCACAUGCAUGGUGCGUUUUGAGCUUUCAUCAUGUGACCAUUAUUUUUUUAUCAACAAUAAAUAAAUAAAAUAAAAUGAGGCACUUCAGGGAUAUCCCAAAUCUUAUACAAAAAAAAAUCAAGACCAAAUUUCAUAACACCCAACUAACUGGGGUUCCAAUAGACUCUACGAAACAACGACUAAAGUGACAAAGACUAUUAUUUAUGAUUAUUAAUCACUUUUUGUUCUUUUUCUUUUUCUUGUAGUAUGGUCCAUAAAAUAUGAAGAAAUAUAAUUUCUUUCAACAGUUUUGAUUGCGAAUAGUUGGUGACUUUUUAAUCUCUUUCUUGGAGUAUGCUUUACAUACUCCUACAAAACAAGAUGACAAAUGAUGUUUUGACAACCUUUGGAGUUGUAUACAACUUUUGAUGUGAUGGAUUUAGAAUGAAAUAUAUAUAAUAAAGGAUAAAUUUGUAACUAAAAGAUAUGAAAAAUAUUAAAAUAAUAGUAUUGGGAGUUGUAAUGUGGUUGUAUAAAAAAAUGUGUGAGGUCAAUGUAUCAUUGUUUGACAAUGUAUACAAACAAGAUAAAGAAUCAUUGUAUUUUGUUUGUAUCUCAUUUUGCUUUAUUGAUUUUAGGAUUUUUAAAUUUAUUGUUGUUUCUUUCUUUUCUCAACCCACGAUUUCUCUUUAUAUUCCUCUCUCUCCCAACUUCUCUUCUCUUCCUUCUCUCUUCAUUUUCUUUCCCAUAAAGUUCAUUUUUACUCUAAAGAUUAAUUAUUCUUUAUUUUUCUCUAUGAUUUAGUCAUCAAUCUUAGAGAUGUCAAUUAAGAAAAGUGUUUCUCUCAACUUGAUUAAGCUCAUACUAAAAUUUUGUAAUGUUUGGAUAACUUUCUCUAGAUUCCUAAAUUUUGGAGUGGUUCCCCCAUUUGAGCUAGAAUUUCCAUAAGAAUAAGGAAUCUCAAGUAACGGAAGCUAACUUUAAAUUUCAAUAGUACCCAAGCUAGAAGAUCUGAAUGUGGAGGGGACGUGAUUCCUAGUUUCAAUUUCUAUUGCAGGGAUGUUAUUUGAUAAAAUGGUUUGAUUUUAUGUUGUGUGAACAUGUAUAAUUAUUAUAUUUUGAUAGUUUGGAAGUUAAAUAUUGUUUUUUAAGUUGGAAAAGUUAUUGAAUGUUAGUUGUUUGAAUGAUAUGUAUUAUAUAUGAAUGAUGAAAAUUGUAUGAAAUUGAUGUCAUACAUUUGGGAUAAUGUAUGAGUUAUUGUUUGAUGGUACAUUAAGUAUGAAAAACCUAUAUUUAACAGAGAUCCUCUAGUUUCACUUAUAAUCUAAUUCAUAUAGAUUAAGAUAACAGUGGGUGAGAAGCUGAUGCUAGAGUUCAUACACACUGAGUCCCGCUAUAGAAACUCGGUAUUAGAUGUUUGAACGUAUCAUGAUCCUUGAUGUAUGGAUUAGAUGUUAGUCUUUGUUAAGAGCAUACUUAAUGAGUUUUAUAAUUAUCUACAUAAAUAAUUUUAUUUUUAAAAUAAUAUAUAUAUAUAUAUAUUAAAAUAAAAACAAUUUUUUAAGAAAAAAGGGGCAACCAAGCCACCCUACUUUUGUUCGACCCAUGAGAGUAAGGGGAAACCCCACCCCUACUUGUUACCAUUUCAGUUUUGCUUUUGUGAUUCUUAAACAUUUAGAAUUUAUAUUAGUUUUCAGUUUUUUUUAUCAGUAUACGUUUCUUUUAAGUAUUUAAUGAUAGUUUGAUAAUGUAAUAAUUAAAAAUAUAUAUUAAAAAGUUAUAUGACUUUAAAGCAUACAUGCAAUUAAGAAAUAUAUAAUAAAACGGUUGUGACAUUAAUUAUUUUUUCAUUUUCAUUUUUCAUCACAUUAAAUAUAUAUACAUACAUUUAAAUUAAUUAAAUUUUUAAGGGAAAAUAAAAGAAUAAUUAAUAAUAUAAUUUACUACCAAUUUGUGAAUGUAAAAAGUGAAUAGUUUUUAUGUAGAUUAAAGAUGUGACAAAAAAAUAUGGAAAAAAAUAUUUUAUUUUUACUUAAAGUAUACAAGGUCACUUUUAUGAUUUAUGUAUUUUUCAACAUAGAGUUUGCAAAUAUGGAUUUUUUAUUAUCACUACAAAUACGGAUUUCAACAUAUAUGUGAAAAUCUUGCUAUUUAUUCAUGUUUACUUAAUAUUUUUGCAUACAAAGCUUUAAAUAGUUAUAAAGAGUUUUGUUAAUUACAAAUUCAAACAACAUUUAUUCCAACAAUUUCAUUGUAACACCUCAGAAAUGACAUUUAACUAUUACAAUACAAGUUCUAUAUGUUUGUUUCUAUAGAAGCUUAGAGUUUUUCAAAAUAUUCCUAUUAGAAUAUUAUGACUUAUACAGAUAUAAAUAUUUACAAUAUAAGGUUCAAAACAACAUCUUAAAACCCUUCAGACCCUCUCAACAUGUGUAUGAUCAUGUGUUCAUGUACGUAUUUCAGUCAUAAUAGUUCACAACACAACAAGAAAGUAAGGGUAAGCUAAUGAAAAGAAAUUCCACACAUACUUAAUCCAUGCAAAAAAAAAAAACACAAUCAAACAAAUCAAUUAUAAACAUUUCUUUAACUAUUGUCAUAUAAAAUUUCAAUAUCAAUUUCAUCAUUCAUAUAUACCAUACAUGAAUCUAUUUUCAAUCACAAUCAUUGGAUUUCAUUUCAAUCCAUAUCACUUUGAUUUCAUUUCAAUCAGACUUACUACACAUGAAUCUUCGUCUUUUGGAAAACUCCUUAAGUAUGCCCCUACCAGAGACUAACAUAUAAUUCAUACAUAAAGGAUUAGGAUAAGUUCAAACAUCUAAUACCGAGUGUCUACCGCGGGAUUGGGUGCGUAUGAACUCUCUCAUCAACUUCUCACCACCUGAUAUCUUAGUCUAUAUGACUUAGAUUAUCAGUGAAGCUAGAGACUCUUUGUUAAGCAUAGACUUUCAAUACUUAAUGUACCAUCAAACAACAAUGCAUACAUUAUCCCAAAUGUAUGACAUCAAUUUCAUACAAUUUUCAUCAUUCAUAUAUAAUACUUAUCAUUCAAUCACACAAUAUUUCAAAAUUCAUAACAUUUAAGAACCUUUCAAACAUAAAAGAUGAACUUUAGAGUAAAGAUGAACUUACUCUGUUUGAAAAUCUGACUCCUCAGCUAUAGCAUGACGUGAUCAGAUUUUGGAAUAGAUGAAGUAUGAGAGAAAUUGAAGAGAGAAGAAAGAGAGAAAGGAUGAAAGGGUGAAAAGGAGGGGCGGCGAUUCUGCUUCCUUGUUCUUUCUUUUUUUUUACGGAGGGUUAGAAUUUUCAUCAAUGUUAUCUGUAUUUAUAGCACCUUAGUUAUGUUUGUUAAGAGAUAGAUCAUUGAUAUAAAGAAAACGAAUAUAAGUUUUUUAAGAUCAUCAUGCAAACAUACAAACGUUUUUGUUUAUAUGAAAAACUAAAUCAACAACUUAUAUUUCAAUAAAUAAAGAAAGGACAAAGUCAGAUAAACUGAAAUCUACUUAAGAUUAAAUUAAACACAUAGAUAUGUUUAUGCCUCAACAAAUCAUUAAAUUAGAAUGUAAAAUUUAUGUUGAAAGUAAAUUUUAUUUUGUUAUAUGUUUAAUAUUUAUGGAAAAUUAAUCACUACAAGAAAAUUACUAAAUAAAUAUUAAUUUUAGAGACUAAAAAUAAUUAGUCACUAUAUUAACUAAAUUAGAUACUAUUUUAUUAUUAAAAAAUUUAUUGGUAUUUGAAGUGAUUUAUAUUAUUAAUAAAUAGUUUCUAAUUGGUAUCUUAUUUAAAAAUUAUUUAUUAAUAAUAGGAACUACUUUAUAUACCGAUUUUUUUUAGUCUAUAAAAUAAUAUCUAAUUUAAUUAAUAUAAUGACUAAUCAUUUUUUGUCUCUAAAAUUAGUUUCUAUUAAAUUAUUUUCUACUAAUAAUUUUUUUGUUAUAUAUAUAUAUACACACACGUGUAACACCCUUAUAAAACAUCAAUCAUAAACUAUAUAACAUAAAUUUUCAUAUAGAAUUUACAAACAAUAAUAUAUUUUAAAAAAAAAUACUUAAACAUGAGAAAAGAUAUCAAUAAGUAUAAUUUUUUUUUGAAAAAUGAUAAAAUAAAUUUUUAUUCUUUUUUAGAUGUUACUCCUACACCUCUAUCUCCAUAUAUUGUAUAAAUAACAAGUAAUAAGGUAAGCAUGUUUAUUAUUACACAAAUGUUUAUAAAAGAAAAACACAAACCAAUUCCAUAAAAAAAAAUCUCAUCAAUACAAAUAUAUACAUAUAUAUAUAUAUAAAAGGAUAUUCAACAAGUGAAUUAUGGUGAUGGUGACAUAUCUAUAUUAAGUUGCUUUGAGUUGGCUUCUGGGCUCAAAGUUAUUUUUUCAAAGAACAAACUUGGAGGGAUGGGCAUAAAUCAAUCUCAAUUGCAACUAUACUCGUCUCUUCUAAACUGUGAAAUAAUGAAAGCUCAUUUUAAGUAUUUGGGAUCGGAGGUGGCUAGUAAUCAUAUAAGAGUGUGUUUUUAGGAAGAUGUGAUUGACAAGAUCAGGAAGACACUGGAUAGGUAGAAGGGGAAGUUUUUAUCUUUAGCUGGUAGAGUGUGUUUGUUUAGAUUGGUUCUUUCGUCUAUUCCCCUGUUCUAUACAUCCUUUUUAGAAUACCAUUUUUACUGGUUCAAAGUAUAAAGAAAAUUUAGAGAAAAGUCCUUUGGGAUUAGGGGAAGGAAGGGAAGAAAAUAGCUUGGGUGGUCUAGGACAAAGUAUGUGAGCCUAGAGAGAAUGAUGGACUAGGUAUAAAAGGAAUGACAUCUUCCUAAAGAGUUGUAGUAGAUAGGUUACCGACACUUGUUAACUUGAAAGAAAGAGGGGCAGUCUUGGAAAGCUUCAUGUGUGUUAUGUGCGGGGAGGAAGAGGAGACAAGGAACCAUCUUUUUUUCAAAUGUAAUGUAGCUUGGAGGGUCUGAUGCUUGUGUAGAAAGUGGGUUGGGGAGGACAUAGUGUACCAUUGGGAUGCCAAAUCCCAUUUUCUUGUAUGGGCAUGACAGAAGACAAACAAAUAUUGGGGAUGUUUGUGGAUUGUUAUGGUUGGGGAAAUCUAGAAACAAAGGAAUCUCAUCUUAUUUAAGAAUGGUAGAGUUGAUUGCUCGGAGAUCUUUUCUUUAGCCCAACUCAAGGCAUGGUCAUGGCUUACGAGCAAGGUAAGUUUAGCUUCUUUUACUUAUGUCCAAUGGUGCAUAGACCCAAAGACUUGUUUAAUAUCUAUAAGAUAGUAAGGGUGUUGUUGGGCAGUGUUUUUAGGAAGGUAAGACUGUGUUUUUUUUUCUCUUUUGUAUAGUUUUAAAAGUAGCAUGGGACAGGUAUUUCUAACAAUGGCCUUGGGUCAGUUUGGAGGGUUGUUUUUUGUAGGGCAGUAGAGGGUAUAUAGUUUGGAGCAGGAAAGAGGCACAUCUUGGAUUUUUCCUUAAACUAAGGGUGGUUUAAAGGACUUUGAUAUUUGUGUAUGUUUGGACUGGUAAGGCAUGUUACAUUGAAGGAUUGACUUUUUUUGUGAUGUAUGAAUUUGACUGUAUGGCUUGUUAUCAUUGGAGUAUUUGUUCUAUUAGCUAGAUCGGUAUUGUAGUGUUUUGGAGUUCGAAAGAUACUAUUUGAGUGGAGUUUUUGUUUUUUGUUCUAUUGUCAUUGGCCUUUAUGUUUUUGGCCUAGAACAGAUUGUAUAAAGGUUGGAUGUAAAGAGUGAUUAGNNNNNNNNNNNNNNNNNNNNNNNNNNNNNNNNNNNNNNNNNNNNNNNNNNNNNNNNNNNNNNNNNNNNNNNNNNNNNNNNNNNNNNNNNNNNNNNNNNNNACAAAUUAGUAUUUAUAUUUAUAAGAAAACCUAAGAAUAAUGGAUCAAUGUAAAUUUAUUAGAAUCCAAGUCACAUACAUAUGUCGAGUGUGUAAACAAUUGAUGUCUUAAUCUACAUGACUCAAACUAUGAGUGUAGCAAGGGAAUCUCUAUUGUAACACAAAUAUCUUUACUUAAUACAUGACUCAAAGAAUGGUUUAAUAUAAUUCAUAUUUGUGGCCUCAUAUUCAUACAACUUUCAUAAUUUCUACAACAUUUUUUCAUAUAAUAUAAAUCAUUUAAAUAAAACACAAUUCAAUCAAAUAAACAAAUCGAUACUUUAUUUACUUUUAUAUUCAACAUUCACAUUCAAUUAAUUAAAGAGACAAAAGGAAAUAAUGAAAUAAAAAAAAAACUAGUUUGAGCGAAAUUCUAGUCAAAAAAAGGUUGAAUUUAGGUUCUAUUUUUCACUUGAGCGAAAAUAUGGACAAUGACCAAGGUUGGUUUUUUAUUCCAUUUUCACUCGAACGAAAAUGGAACCAAAAAACAAAUGUUGAUUUUCUAAUAUAUUUCAUUGAGUGAAAUUUAUCAGUUUUCAAAAUUUCACCCCAAAAUCAAUAAAACAAGUUACAACUUUUAAAUAACUCAAAAGGCCAACAUAAUUAUAAUGUAUUCGAAUAGAACUUUCACUCUCGUAAAGCUCACAAUUCAAUCAAUGAUAACUAUAAGAGAUUAACUUAUUCUCACAAAAAAUCAUAUUCAAAACACAAUUUAAAAUCCUCAACAUGCAAAAAUCUAUUCACCAUGAUAAUAUCUCAAUUAUAUUAAAUUCAAAGUACUCAAACAAUUCUCACUUAAUUUUAAAUAUUUACAUAUUUUUAAACAAAAACACAAAUCCCUGCACAAAAAUCAAUAUGUCAUCAAGUCUAGAGAUGAAAUUGUUGGAUAGCUCGUCUCAUCCUGCGUAUAAAAUACGGGUUGAUUUUAUGAACCUACUUCAAUAAGAAUUGGUCCACGGACAUGUAAGUCAUCUAACAUAAUUUUUUUAAAAUUAAUGAAAAAUAAAAUUUUAAAUAUAAAUUUUAAAUAAUUAAUUUUUUUUUCUUAUUUAAAUAAAUUAAAUAAAUGAAUUCACAAUCUUAUUCUUACAACAAUAAGAUAUAGAUAUAGAUAAAAAUAAAAAUAAAAAUUCUUUAAUUUCAUAAUGUGAGAUUUAAAACUUUAAAGAUUAUAGAAUUUGAAAGUUAGAAUAAAACACUUUGUCCCAUCACAUGCGGGUCCAGAAGAAGCCCCCACCCCUACUUGCUUCUAUAUCUUUGUUUUAACUUUGUGAUUCUGAAACAGUUAAAGUUUACGUUUCUUUUUGAGUUUUUUUUAUGAGCAUAAGUUUGUUUAAAGUAUUUAAUGAUAGUUUAGUAAUUAAAAAUAUUCAUUAAAAGAUUAAAUGUCUUUAAAGUAAAUGCAAUUAAGAAAUGUAUAAAAACGGUUGUCACAUUAAUUAUUUAUUUCAUUUUCAUUUUUCAUCACAUUAAAUAUAUAUACAUACAUUUAAAUUGAUUAAAUUUUAAGGGAAAAUAAAAAUAUAAUCAAUAAAUGAAUAUAUUUCAGUACCAAUUUGUGCCAUUGGAAAUUGUCACACCAAAAUUAUCCAAACACAAUAGUUAAAGAAUUAAAAAUGGGAUUUAGUUUCUUUUACACAUUGAAAGAAUAUUUGGACUGUAUAGCAUGAUUUUCUCAAAGUUUUGGUUAACUUUUGAAUAUGUCACUCGUCUAUUUGUUUCAAUAUCGUUGAGAAUUGAUUUCGCUUCUACUUUUACAAAUUAGUUAUCCCUAAGAAAAUUAGAGAUUUAAUUAUUAUUUUUAAUACAUUAUGUAAUACACUACAAAAAAAUAUGUUUAUUAGCAUGGGUCAAAAAGGGACAUUAGCUAUAAUAAAUGGACGCAAAAAGUGUAGUUAUCAUUAAAAUUUGGAAGCUAUGCUCAACAUAAAAAUAGUGGCGGGUGUGUGGGACAUAAAUGGUGUGUUUUUUAAGUAGGCCUAGUCUACAUGCUCCCUACACAAAAUUAUAUUUUAUAUUGUUUAUUUAAAGAAGCGUGGGCUUAGUCAACAGAUUGGCCACCCAAUUUUUAAACAAGCGUGGGCUUAACCUUCAUAAUUUUUUUACAUAUUUAAAUUUAAUUUAAAUAUAUAUAUAUAUAUAUAUAUAUUAUGUUUGCGUGGCUUUAACCUACAAAAUUUUAAAUUUUUAUUAUUAUUUAUUAUUUAUAGUUUCAGUUGUGACCAUUUAACCCAGACAAUUUUUUUUUCUUUUUUUUAGUUUAUGUCCAUAUAACCCACGCUUACCCACACUUUAUUUUUUAUUUUUUUUAAUAAUGAAGGCUUGUUGGACACUAUUUAGAGUUCCUAACAUCAUCUUCAUUUUCUUUUGCAGCUAAUUUUACUUUUUGGUGUAGUGAUAAACCAAACCAGGUUUCAUAAAAUGAUAACUUAUUUCGAUUAAAUAUAUUUUGGAUUAGGCUCAUGAACUUUAAAUACAAGUGAUUCAUCUUAAUUAAAUGCAAAAAUAAACUCUAUGAAAAAAAUAUAAAUGGAGGAUACCAACACAUGAAAAAUUAUUCAUUUAUUAUCAGUUCUAACAUAACUAUUUCUUUCACGCAAGCUCAACAAACAAUCUUAUUUUGGACAAACAAAAUGAUAACUUCGAAGCAUAAUCCACCAUUUCCUCAGGGCUUGUUUUUUAUAAUUCUGAAAAAGAAGAAGAAGAAGAAGAAAAGAAAGAAAAAGAAAUGUCAGAAAAGUAAAUGAAUGAGUAGUAUUAACAUGAAUGUAGAAAACAAAAAUCUCACUUUUCGCAAUCGAAGUCCUUGGAGAUGGGAUAAUCGACAUUAAUUUUACAAACUUUAGGAAGGCCAUUGGCUCUGUCAACAUCUAGGUUAGGAAUGUGAGAGGCUUCUCCCUUAAGGCACUUACAUGCAGCACAUUUUUCUUCUUUUGUAGGUGUUGAAACUAUCAAUUUAUUCAACCCUUGGCAGCAAGGAGUUGAAGGGGUACUAGUUUUCUUGGUGAGAUAAUCUAAGCAUGGGGACAUUAAGGAUUUUGUCUGCUCACAAGUCAGAGCCUUUGUGGCUCUGUGGCUGCAACUGUGAGGACUAACACAACUACCAAACUCAAAAAUGGUACAAAUGCACUCUUCAUUUUUGUCACAAUGGUUUAUCUCAAUCACUCACUGGUGCUUUUGAUUUUGGAUGGAUGGAACAUUGUGAAAGUCUUACAUUUAUAGCCACAUGCAUGGUGCAUUUUGAGCUUUCAUCAUGUGACCAUUAUUUAUGACUAUUAAUCAUUUUUUGUUUUUUUUUGUUUUUCUUGGAGUGUGGUCCACGAAAUAUGAAGAAAUAUAAUUUCUUUCAACGGUUUUGAUGUGUUAUUGCAAAUAUUUAGUGACUUUUUUAUCUCUUUCUUCGUUACAAGAAAAUCAUUAAAUAGAAACUAAUUUUAGAAAUCAAAAUAAUUAGUUAGUAUUUGAUUAAAUUAGAAAUUAUUUUAUAAACUAAAAAUUUAGUGGUAUCUAAAGGAGUUUAUUUCAUAAACAAAAAAAUAUCGACAUCUAAAGUGGUUUUUUAUUAAUACAAAUUUAUAAAAUAGUUUCUAAAUUAGUAUCUGAAUUAACUACUAAGAUUUAAAAUUACUAAUUUUUAGAUUCAAAAUUAGUCUCUAAAGGACUAAUAGAGACUAAUUUAUAAUAUAAAGUAGUUAGUAGCUAAAACUUUGGUAGCUAAUGGUUAGAUACUAAUUUAGAAACUACUUUAUAAAUUUUUAUUAAUAAGAGAAAUUACUUUAGAUACCAUUAAUUGUUUUAGUUUAUAAAAUUAUCUCUAAUUUAGUCAAUAUAGUAACUAUUUAUUUUGAUAUUUCGAGUUAGUUUAUAUUCAAUGAUUUCUUGUGAUGUAUGUUCUACGCACUCUCACAAACACAGAUAAAGUGUAUCAUUAUAUUUUGUUUGUAUCUCAUUUUGCUCCGUUGAUGUUAAAAUUUAUUGUUGUUUUAUACUACAUCAUUUAUUACUUUAGACAAUAUUGAAUUAGAUUACAUAUAUAUAAUUGUUUUCUACACAUAAAAAAAAUGAUUUUAUAAAUGUGGUUUAAGGACUAUCAAAGAUCACAUUAAUUAUUUAUACAACAUUUUUUAAGUGUUGUCAUUAAAAUGUAUGGAUUAAACUAUAAGACUAUUGAGUAAAAGUGGUCACAUAUAUUAAUAUAUAUGAUAGAUUACGUUUUUCAUGUCUUAGACAUUUCAGUGAUCUUUAAGAAAAGGAUAAACCACAUUAAAAAGAUGUUUUCAAAUAAUAAAAAAGUGACUUUCAAUUGUAGAUAUUUUAAAUCAUAUAUAAUUAAGAUUAUCUUUAAUAUAAGUAACACUUCUAAAACGUGAUUACUUUUUUUUUAUCGUAAAAAAAGAAUAAUUAAAGGAGGUAUUUUAGGAAUACCUAAACCCUUAUACAAGACACCACACCAAAACACACUCAUACUUCUAGUGUUUUCUCUUGUUAAUAGACCUCAUACAAACAAGUGGUUCUAGACAUCAAUCUGAGUAAGAGAAACAAACUACUCUUACUCUCGCUGUUACCUAUGACCAGACCUUCAUUUGUGUCAUUGUGAAGAUUUCUUGAUGAUAUAUUCUUCCAUUCCUAAAUAUGGUUACUUUAUCCCAUAUUUAUGAAAUCCUUUGAUUAAAUUAAAAAAAAAAAGUUAUGCUUUUGAAUUCAAAAUAUACAAUACAGUUUACGUUAUUUAGUAUGUUCUAAAUCUAAAUUACAAGCUUUUUAUUCGUCUACAAAUCAAAAUUCAAAUUAAACCUUGAUUUUAAAAUUAAAAUCCAAAUUAAUAAUAAUAAUAGUAUGAUAACAAAAAUUUUCUAAUAUAUAGUUAUAAGUUUAUGUUUACUCUUAAUAUAUCCAAAUACAAUUGCCAAAUUAAAUAAUAAAUAAUUAUCACAUAAAUAUAAAUUAUAACACUUAAAAAUUGUGGUCCUACCUAUUAUCAUGUUUUAAACAAUGGUUUUUAAAUUUCUGUUAAAAAUUAUUACCUUAGUCAUGUUUUUAAAAGAUUGGUAUAAAGAAAACAAAUGAGUUUUUGAAGUGAAGAACAUCAUGCAAACAUAUAAAACGUUUUUUUUUUAUAUAUGAAAAACUAAACCAACAAAUAAAGAAAGAAAAAGUCAGAGAAACUGAAAUCUACUUAAAGAUUAAAUUAAACACAGAUAUGUUUAUGUCUCAAAAUAUUAGUAAUUAAAUUAUUAUUUUUUUAUCUUCAAAAUUAGUUUUUAUUUAAUAAUUUUUUAUAGUAAAUUUUUAUUAUAUAUAUUUAUUUAUUUGUAAUACUAUAACAUUCCAAAAAUACAUCUAACUAUUAUAAUACAAGUUCUACGUGUUUCUAUACAAGCUUAGAGUUUUUCAAAACAUUCCUAAUACAUGAUUAGAGAAUAAAAAUACAAAUAUUUACAAUAUAAGGUUCAAAACUACUAAAGUCCUUCUGACCCUCCGACACCUGUAUGAUCAUUUGUUCGUGUACGUAGUACAGUCAUUGUAGUUCAAACACAACAAGAAAAACAAGGAUAAGCUAAUGAAAAGAAAUUUCAUAACAUAUUUAAUUCAUGCAAAAAAAAAUCAAACUAAUCAUUUAUAAACAUUUCUAUAAAUGUUGUCAUAAAAAAUUUCAAUACCAAUUUCCUCAUUCAUAUAUAUUACACAAGGAUCUAUUUUCAAUCACAAUCAUUGGAUAUCAUUUCAAUCCAUAACACUUUAAUUUCAUUUCAAUCACACUGGCUACACAUGAAUCUAUCGUCUUCCGGAGGACUCAUUAAGUAUGCCCCUACCAGAGACUAACAUCUAAUCUAAUUCAUGCAUCAAGGAUCAGAGUAAGUUCAAGCAUCCAAUACCAAGUGUCUACAGCGGGACCCAGCGUGUAUGAACUCCCUCAUCUGCUUCUCAUCACCUGAUAUCUUAGUCUUACAUGACUUAGAUCAUCAAUGAAGCUAUAGGAUCUCUGUUAAACAUAGGCUUUUCAUACUUAAUGUAUCAUCAAACAAUAACUCAUACAUUAUCCCAAAUGUGUGACAUUAAUUUCAAACAAUUUUAAUUAUUCAUAUAUAAUACAUAUCAUUUAAUCACAUAACAUUCAAGAAUCCUUCCAACAUCAAAAACAAUAUUUAACUUCCAAACAAUCAAAAUCUAAUAUUUAUACAUGUUCACACAACAUAAAAUCAAACAAUUUUAUCAAAUUACAUCCCUGCAAGAGAAAUUGAAACUUGGGAUCACGUCCCCUCCAUAUUCAAAUCUUCUAGCCUAGGGUACUAUUGAAAGUUAAAGUUAGCUUUCCUUACCUGAAAUUCCUUAUUGUGAUGGAAAUUCUACCUCAAAGAGGGGAACCACUCCAAAAUUUAUGAACUCUGUUUGAAAAUCUAAUUGGGUAGAAAUAUUCCCUGACUCCUCAACUACAUCUUGGCGUAAUCAGAUUUUGGAAUAUAUGAGGUAUGAGAGAGAAAUUAAAGAGAGAAGGGAGAUGAGAGAAAUGGGAAGCGAGAAAGAGAUAAGCACCGUAUGUGGGGGGGGGUUCAGUGUUACAAAUACCCUUACAAGACAUCAACCAUUUUUUUUAUCAGCAAUAAUGAAUAAAUAAAUGUGGAUACUUCAGGGGUGAACUAACCCUUAUACAACUCACGAAAUACUCCAGCCAACAAAAUACUAACUAAACUACUCUAAAACAAGAAACCCCAAAACCAAAAACCAGCAAGCUAAAAACCAAAUCUAAAUUGAAUUUAGGCAAAUCAAAGGUUCAAGACACCAAUCUGAAUAAGAAAAACAAACAAAUGGAAUUUUAGAGGAAAUCCAAGACCAAACCUUCAAUAGAGCCAAAGAGAAAGUCUCUAAAUGAUCCAACACUCCACCUUUAAAGAUGACAUUGUUCCUAACACACCAAAACUCACUAACCACCUCAAUCCCUACAUUCUCCAAGACCAAAUUAACAUAAUUAGGUGCAUUACACAGGUUAAACUACAAGAUAUGAAAAUGAGGGUUAAAAGAAUCAACCGACUUCAACCCUAACCAUGCAUAACAGAGACUCUAUACUAACCAAGCGAAACGACAACCAAAAAAUAGAUGAAAAGAAGUCUCCUCUUUUUCCCCACACAAGCUACACAUGAUAUUUCCAACCACAAUCUCACUUUUGACCAAAUUAGCUUUGGUUGCAAUCUUGUUUUCCAAUACCCUCCAAACAACAAAAUGGCCCAAAGGCAAAACUUAAAAGGCCUUAAAUAAUUGUAAAUGGUCCUGUUUAGAACCGCCCUCCGAUAACAUACCCCACUUAAAAUGGGGGCAUCCAGGUGAGGAGACAACCACACAUACCUCUUCUUCUAAGGACACCUGACACAAAGUAUCAUUUAUCCUUACGUUUUUAACUAAAUUUGCCACCCUUCGCACUGGCAUUCUGAUACGUAACCUUGUAAACUUAACACCUCUGAAGCACUGGUUGCCUAGUCCACAUCAAUUAAUGAACCAACCAGAGCCCCAAUUGACUUAAAACAUUGUCUAUUUCAGAACAUCAACAGGAUACCUCUACAACGGACCUGGGCGAGCUUUUCAGUUACCACAAAAGAUUAGGACCAUGGGAAGAGUGAAUCGACAAAACCUUCCAAGCACUAUUUGUUUUCUUCGAUAAGCUUCUCAAGAGAGCCUGUUGUUUCACUUGACAAAAGAACGUAUAGCUCCCCUAGAGAUCUAACCCUCACAAAACUAAACCCUCCCAAAAAGAAACUCGCAUUCAUUGCCUGAACAUUACUAGCUUUAACAACCUCCCAACAUAGUAGUUCUCCAGCCACAUAGGGGAUUCCACCUUGACACUGAAAGAUGUCAUGUUUUCAUAUGAAACCGAAGCCUUCAAAGGGGAACUCCCACACCCGCUCUUGACCACCUAAACGAAAGAACAUUUUUAUUCCUUCUGAUUCCACAUUUUCCAAGUUGUUGAUGACCUCUCCUUAGGAUUCCACUCUUUCUUUGGAUAUCACGCUUAUUGAAUUUCGAUUUGUUAACCCACAACUUCCAAUACCCAAUCCAAAUAGAGUCCAAUUUUCUUUCCAACACAUCCACACCCCUUACGCCCUGGAACCUUACAAACCCAAAGCGCUGAUUUCUAGCAUUUAACUUUAUGAUGAUAAAUACGUCUAAGACUCGUCCCCAUGUUUGGAAAAUUUUCCAUAGAUCCUUUUCAAAGUAACAGGUGGAAAUUUUGUGAAGAAAAACAAUGUAUAUGCCAUAGACUUAAUGUUCUUCCUCGCCGGAAAACACUCUACCUCACCUGAAAACACUUCGCGGACCUUUCUCUCUCUAUCUCAUCGAAUAACACUCAACGAACCUUUCUCUCUCUACAUAUUUUCUCUCCUCAAGAAAAGUUAAGACUUAGAAAAAAAAUGUUAAACUAAGCCUCAAUUGUGAGUAAAAAUCCUAAACCCUGAAAACAUCAACCAUAAACUAUAUAACAUAAAUUUUCAUAUAUCAUUUGCAAACCAUAAUAUAUUUUUAAAAAAUUACUUAAAUAUGAGAAAAUAUAUCAAUAAGUAUAAAUAUUUUAAGAAAAAAUUAAAAUAGAUUUUUAUUCUUUUUUAGAUGUUACUCCUAUUAAUGAGACAAAAAGAAAUAAUGAAAUAAAAAAAACUAAUGUGAGCAAUAUGAUCAAGCAACAUGACUGAUUUUUUACUUAUUUUCACUCAACCAAAAAUGGAGGCAAGAGGAAAUGUUGAUUUCCUAAUAUAUUUGUUUGAGUGAAAUUUAUCACUUUUCAAAAUUUCACCCAAAAUUAAUACAACAAGUUACAACUUUUAAAUAACUCAAUAGAUCAAUAUAAUUAUAAUUUACUCAAAUAUAAUUUGUCCUCUCCUAAAGCUCACAAAUCAUACAUGAUAACUAUAAGAAAAUAACUAAUUCAAACAAAAAAUCAUAUUCAAAACAGAAUUUAAAAUGUUCGUAAUUUAACAUGCAAAAAUCUAUUCACCAUAACAAUAUCUCAAUUAUAUUGAAUUCAAAGUAAUUAAACAAUUGUCAUUCAAUUUCCAAAGAAAACAAUAACCCCCGCACAAAAAUAAAUAUACUAUGAUUAAGUAUAGGGAUGGAAAUUGAGCUGAUGCACCUAGCGUAUAACAUGCGGGUUAAUUUUAUGGGGUUAAUUUUAUGGGUCCGUCCUGUAUAAGGAUUGGUCCACAGGCUUACGGGUCAGUCUUUAUAAAAAUUGUUUUAAAAUUAAUACAAAAUAAAUUUUUAAAUAUAAAUUUGAAAGAAAAUAAUUUUUUUUAUUUAGAUUAGUUAAGUAAGUGAUCUCAUUAUUAAUGUGUUUUUUCUUUAAUUCCAAAUAAAUUUAGAACUUCCAGAAUUAUAGAAUUUAAAAGUUAAAAAACCUCGCGACGAGUCCCACCCCUACUUGUUUCCAUAUCUUUGUUUUGCCUUGAUUCUGAAACAGACAGAAAUUAUGUUUGUUUUGAGUUUUUCUUAACAACAUACGUUUCUUUUCAGUAUUUAAUGAUAGUUUGAUAAAUAGUAAUUAAAAAUAUACAUUAAAUAAUUAUAUGUGUUUAAAGUAGACAUGCAAUAUUAAGAAGUAUACAAUAAAACUGUUGACAUUAAUUAUUUUUUCAUUUUCAUUUUUCAUCACAUUAAAUAUAUAUACAUAUAUUAAAUUAUAUAGUAAUUAAUCAUUGUUAAUUUUUAUUUUUAUGAUACAAAUUAAUUCAAAUAACUUAAUACUUUUAUUUAACUUUUGUUAACAUUUAAAAAUAAACAACAUCAAAUAUAUUUUUUAAAAUAAAAAAGAAUCAAAUUAAACAUAAUAUUUUACCAAUUUUAUGUUUUAAUAAGAAACUUUAUUUAAGAUAUCUUGAAUUUUCAGUUUUUUUUAUAUUUUUAUUAAAAGAAAGUUAAUGUAGAUUAAAAGUUUUGUUAAUAUUGAUUUAUGUUUUAAUUGGAGGGUGUUUUGGAUUUAAAAAAUAUAUAUUAUGGAGAUGCAGACACCAUGGUGCAGGAAGAAUUUACAUUUUAUAAAGCUCUGAUUCCUUUUUUUCCUUUUUAGUAUGUUUUGUACACAUUAAAAAAAUGGGAAAGUUGUAUAUAUGUUUUUAGAUAGAGGAAAAGGUAUAUUUGGUUUGGUAUCAUUUUAUUUGGAAAAUGCACAUAGAAUAAUAUGUGUAACUUAAUUUAUUAAUACUUAUAAAUUAAAUUUUAAUUAAUAUUUAUAAUAAAUGAAUUAUCUUUUUAGUCUAUAUUAAGGAUUAAAAAUUAAUUUUAUCUCUUACAUUUUAAAAAGUUUAAUGUGGUAUAAUUUUAAGAAAGAAAAUCGUAUCAACUCUUUCUAAAAAGUUUAAUGUAUUUGCAUAAUCUUAAGUAGAUCUAUUUUAACUAUCAUAAUCUAGCAUAAUGAACUACAUUAAAUUGUUUGUUAUAAAAAUGAACUAUAUUAAACUUUUAGAAAAUCUCAGAAUUAAAAUGAUUUUUAUCUUUGAUAUAGAAAAAAAAAAGAUAAUCUAAAAUAAUUUAACGUAUAAAAAUAAAAGUAAAUUUAAUUUAUCAAAUUAAAAACAUUAAUUAUUCAAUUAAAAAUUAUUUACAUAAUUAAGUGUGUUUUUAAAAUAUUAUAAAUAUUAAAAUAAAAACAAACUUUAAUAAAAAAAUGGCAACCACCCACCUACUUUUGCCCGAACAGCAGGUCCAGAGAAAACCCACCCCUUUUCUGUAACACCCCAUAAUUUGCAUAUAACUAUUACAAUAAAAGUUCUACCAGUUUCUAAACAAACUUGGAGUUUUUCAAAACAUUCCUAAUACAUGAUUAGGAUUUAUAGAAAUACAAAUAUUUAUAUAUCCAUAGCUCAAAACAAAACUCUGAAACCUCUAAGGCUCUCCUGCAUCUGUAUGGUCAUCUGCUCGUCGCAGUUCAAACACAGCAAAAAGAACCAAUCAAAUAAAUCAGUUAUAAAUAUUUCUUUAAAUGUUGUCAUAUAAAAUUUCAAUAUCAAUUUCAUGAUUCAUAUAAACCACACAUGGAUCUAUUUUCAACCACAAUCAUUGGAUUUCAUUUCAAUCCCACUUCAUCUUCCAGAAGACUCAUUAAGUAUGUCCCUACCAGAUACUAACACCUGAUCCAAAGAUUACCAUCGAAUCCAAUAGAAAGGAUCAAGGUAAGUUCAAACAUCCGAUACCGAGUGUCUAGGUGGUACCCGGUGUGUAUGAACUCCCUCUCAGCUUCUCACUACCUGAUAUCUUAGUGUACAUGACUUAGAUCAUCAGUGAAGCCAGAGGAUCUCCGUUAAACAUAGGCUUUUCAUACUUAAUGUACCAUCAAAUGAAAACUCAUACAUUAUCCCAAAUGUAUGACAUCAAUUUCAUACAAUUUUCAUCAUACAAUAUCAUUCAAAACGCAAUCCACAAUAUUCAAAAUCCUAUUUAACAGAAAAAAACAAAACUUAAAUACUAAACCAUCAAAAUCUAAUAUUUUUACUAGUUUAAAUAAUAUAUAAACAAACAACAUCCAUGCAAGAGAAAUUGAAUAUUGGGACCACGUCCCUUCCACAUUCAGAUAUUCUAUCAUAGGGUGCUAUUAAAAAAAUUAAAUUUAGUUUCCCUUACCUCAAUUGCUUGCUUUCCAAGCAACUUCUAGAAUUUUAUUCCCCACAAGAUAAGCUUUAAGAUUUAUGGGCCUAAUGCAAGUUAUCCAAACAUAACAAAAAUUCAGUAUAAAGUAAAAUAAGUUGAGAGGAUUAAACUUCUCAACUAACCCCACCAAGAUUGAUGACUAAAUCCUAAAGGAAAAACAUAGAACAAAUGAUAUUUAAAGUAUGAUCAGAUUCUAAAAUAGAUGAGGUAUGAAGUGAGAAAUUAAGAGAGAAGAUAAAAGGGAGAGAUGGAGGGAGAAAAAAGAAAGGAAAAAAUGGUGCGUGGGGACAAGGUUCUGGUUCUUUAUUUUAUUUUUUUUUACGCUGUUAUAUUUGCUUUUUUUCUAAUUUUGAAACAGUUAGAAUUUACGUUUGUUUUGAUUUUUUUUAAUUUUGAAACCGUUAGAAUUUACGUUUGUUUUGAUUUUUUUUUUUAUCAACAUACGUUUGUUUAAAGGUUUCUUUUAAGUAUUCAAUGAUAGUUCUAUAAUAUAGUAAUUAAAAAUAUUCAUUAAACAAGUUAUAUCUCAGACAAGCAAUUAAGAAAUAUAUAAUAAAACGGUUAAUAAUUAUUUUUUUCAUUUUUAUUUUUUAUCACCUAUUAUAUAUAUAUAUAUAUUAAAUUAUAUAGCAUGAUUUUCUUAAAAUUUUGAAUAUGUCUUAUUACUGUACUCAUCUAUUCGUUUUAAUAUAGUUGAGAAUUGAUUUCGCAUGUACUUUUACUGGUUUCUCCAAAUUAAAUUAGAACUUUAAUUAAAAGUUUUCUUUAAUACAUUAGGUAAUAAACCAAAUCAGGUUUCAUAAACUGAUAGCUUACUUCGAUUAAAUUUAUUUAGGAUUUGGCUCACCAAUAUUAGUUAAACACAAACUAUUCAUCUUAAUUAAAUGUAAAAAUAAAUUCUAUGAAAAAAAUGAAGGGAAAUACCAACAACAUAUAAAAAAUUAUUCAUUAAUUAUCAGUUUUAAUAUAACUUUUUCUUUCAGGCAAACUAAAGAAAUAAUUUUAUUUUUGAAAAAAAAAGAUAACAACUUCAAAGCAUAAUCCACCAUUUCUAACGUCACAUCUCCUCCUCAAGGCUAGUUUUUUAUAAUACUGAAAAGGAAGAAAAGAAAGUAAAAACAAUGUCAGAAAAGUGAAUGAGAGGUAUUAACAUGAAUAAUACAUAUAAAAAAAGAAAGAAACUCACUUCUCGCAAUCGAAAUUCUUGGAGAUGGGAUAAUCGACAUUAAUAUUACAAACUUUAGGAAGAUUAUUGGCCUUGUCAUCAUCAAAAUUAGGAAUGUGAGAGACUGCUUCCUUAAGACACUUACAUGCAACAAGUUUUUCUUCUUUUGAAGGUGUUGAAACUAUCAAUUUAUUCAAUCCUUGGCAGCAAGGACUUGAAGUGGCAUUAGUUUUAUUAGUGAGAAAAUCUAAGCAUGGCAUCACUAAGGAUUU